UUUACAUAAUAAUUGUUGUUACUUUUGCAAGGAUCUACAAAAUUUUAGAUCAGAGUGUGAUAUAUACUGGAAUUUCCGUAUGUAAUAGAAAUUACAUUACGGCGCUUUAGCUUAUAAAGGCCAAAUAGAAUCACCAAGAUACAGAUGUCACCUUAAGUAUGAGUGAAAUUAAUUUAGCCUCUGAUCCAUAAUUUUAUUUAACUAUCGUAUUUCAAUAAAAUAAACGAACACGCAAUGGCAAAAAACGACGAAUUGUUGCAUGACAUACAUUGUAUCCCUUUGUGGUAUUAGAAUGAUUGAUUCCUUCUAUAUAAAUUCUUUAUCACAUUUCUAUUCUCACUUGCCAUUAUGGCAGAUUUAUUUAUCAUAGAGUAAAAUAAAAUAUUUAUCCUGUAAUCAUUAUGCUCCAAAAUGAUUAUUUUCAAAAUACCUCCUCAACUGGGACACUAUGUUUUAUUGAUCCCUGAAUGUUUCUGUGUCUGUGAAGAUUUUAUCGUCUGGAUUAAUCAUAAAGUGUAUUGAUUUAUUUUAUAACAUACAAUAUUGUAUUUUUAGAUUAAAAACAUGUGAGGGAGUUUGUGUAAAAAUCGGGUAUGUUGCACCAGCAGCUAUUACUGAUACAGAUAAUGUUCAGCGGAAACAUUAGUUUGACUUUACAAUCUACUGAUUCUAAAUUAUUGUCUGAGGGCAUAGAUUUACUGCCUAUUCACAGUUUCGCAAACACACUACAGUGGUUGUCACAAAUUUGACCAGUUUAUAAUGCCUACUUUCUUUAUACAUAAAGUCGAAGUUGUAGUUUCCUAUAUAAUCUAUUUUAUUGUAAUGAUGGUGAGCUUAAUCUAUCAUGACUGAAAUCAAUUUUAUGACAUUCCAUGUUUCGUGUCAUUCAAAAACAAUAGUCAGAUAUCCAACGAUAUAAAUUAUAGUGGUUGAGAGCUUUUUCUUGAAAGAAGAUGAUCGUUUUGGCCUACCAACACAUCGGGACGAUUAUCUUCAGAGCCUGCAACUCCUCCGGUUGGUGGAGGAUAGAGCCUCUGGAGCUUCCAUACUUCCACGAGGAAGUCUACUAUCUCUGAUUAACCUCGAAAGAAAGAGAGAUGUGAAGAGAAAGACAUCUUCUGAUGAAACCAUUUUUUUAAAAUUAAUCAUUCAAUUAAAUGUACAUAAUUCAGUUCCAAAUAGUAAUUGAUCAAUUCAAUAUAUAGUUUCUAAUGCCAAUUAAUGGAAUGAAUGUCACAUAUUAUGUUGAGGGUUUCAAAUACCAGAGGAAAAUAUAUUUUUUUUAAUAAUACUGCACAUCCCGUAACAACAAGAAAUGUUGUUAGUAACUAAUCCAGUAAAGUAAUCUGUAUUCAUCUGAAUAAUUCCCAUUAACGAGUCGUUUGAUUAAUGUUCAAUUCACUUACAAAUAAAUUAUUAUUAAUGCUGGAAAUAAUAAUGAAUUUAAUCUUUUAACUAACUACAGUUAGUUUAAAUUAAUAUGUAACAGUUAUAAGAUUGUAUACGUGAAUACUUAACUAGUAAAUAAACCAAAGAGAAGACAAAUACACAAGAUUAAUGUAACGUGCUUCAAAAUAUUAGUUUAAAGUUGGCUUUAUAGAUCUGAAUUACCAGGUUUGCUUUUAAUCAAAACCGCAAAAAGUGUGAAAGUUAUAAAUACACGUUCAGUACAUGAAUAACAUUAUAAGAAAUAACAAGGUCUUAUAUAACAACAAGACUACGCUGAGUAUCUCUUUUCUCGUUUUUCAUCAUGUACCGCAACGUAUAUUUGUAGUUAAUUUUAGUUGUUAUGCAUUACACGGCGGAUCCUUGGGAGCGGCUAUGGGGGCCAUAACCCCCCUUCGAGAUUAAAAAGAUGUUCUUAUUUGAAAGAAAGUACUUAAUCACCCUCGCAUCAUAACCGUUAAAAUUAAAAUUAUUUUAAUAUAAUGAAGUACAAAAAUCAUAUCCUUUAUUGUAUCUAAAUGAAAAUCACAUGUUAUAGUAUAGGCAAUAGUGAACUAAACCUAAGAUGGCCCCCUCCGCAAAUCAAUAGUGGAACUGCCCAUGAUUCAAUAUACAUCAAAACAAAAAUGUGCUUUCGGAUUCUCUGAUCAUUUACAAUAAUGUGUGUUUUGAUAUCGCGUAAGUUUCCAGAUAGCGGGUGUACACAGUUUUAAGCAGAAUGUAUUGAUAAUUAUGAACAUGAUAACUGCCGUUGUUCUUAUAUUCAGAAUAAACGUAGUACAAAGAGAAUAUUGACAUAUAACGUAGUUAAGUUCGUUAGCCAAUUUUAACCAAUGGAACGUUUUAAGAUGGCGACCAUUCCCAUUUAGGCAAAAUCUUUCUCUCGAGUAUUUCAUAACAUACAUCAAAAUUGACAUUUUGCUUAAAUUGUCAAGCAACAUUCUUACUUAAUUUUGAGAACUGUUAAAGUUACAAGAUGAUGGCCGGUUAAAAUUUUAGAAGUAUAUAACCAUUAUAAGUGAAUAUGUUUACAAACGUAAUUUUUAAUUGUUUGUAACUGAAUUUUACACACAAAUAUAUGCUUAUAACAAUUUUUGCAAUCUUGGCAGGUUUCAAGAUUAUGGAGUUUCUAAAUGUUUGAAUGUGUUAUAAUUGAAGUAAGAUGUCAAAAUUGAGAGUUAAUUUCACAUCAGUGAUGUGCAAAUUAAACAUCUACACUCAAUAUGCCUCUUCAGUUUGACAUGGAGAGAUAACGGUCAGAUUUGAAAUCCACCUUUGUUCCGACAACCAGAAGGGUUAUUUAGUAUUCCCCGGAAGUGAACGUUUGGAAUACGUUGGUUGCUUUUAUAUUUUUAAGUGUAUAGUUUUACUUAGCCCUGUUGACCUUGCUAGUAAAAAUGUAAGUAUUUGUACUAUAACCAGUGAGCUUUUGGCAGUUAACCUAUGUAAUGGAAGAUAAAAACUGACGACAGUUAACAACUUCCACAGUAGCCAUUAGGCUGAUGAUAGGUAACAACCUAUGUAACAUGUUAGUGUUAUACUCAGCAGGGACCACUUCUAGCUGGUUUGUAGCUUCCAGCUGAACCUACCACUGGGCAUAGCAAAAACCAAUGUAUCACUUAAAUCUGGACAAGCUUAUGGAUGUCCAGGAGCGGAACAUCACUAACCGCAAAUAUGGAUAUUCUGGAAUACAAGGGAAUUCGAUAGGUCUAGUCUACUACUGGAGAUGACUGUUGGAGUUGGGGUUCGUUCCCUAAGUAACAGAGGUUCUUUUGGCCUCAACAAGGGUAUGCCAGCCCUGCCUGCUUUAACUGGAGAGGUUGGUUCAGAGCUGGUCUCUCCUGGGGAGACAUAACUUUGUGAUUACUGCCCAAUUCUUCUUCAUGGAUCUCGAUAUGAGGCGGCUCCUACCCCCUAACCUUACCCAUCCUGAAUAUCCUGUCAUUCCGGAAGCAGCGCUAUGGUCCUUAUAGGACUGAAACAAAGUUAGUGCUUAUGUAGGUUAACAACCUAUACAAUAGCCAAUAGACUGAUGAAACCUAACAAGCUAUAUAAUAAUUAUUGAGCUGUUGGAAGUUAACGAUGUGUACAAUAACUAGGAUCUAUUGAAAGUCACAUAUUUUCAUAUUUAUAAUUUCAUAUGUUUUCUGUCUCUGAUUAUUUAGACUAAAACUGACAUAUACAUAAAAAGGGAUGGAUCUUUUAGCCGCGGAAGGGAUGUUUGGUGGAGCGUCAGCCGCCAGCACACACGCCUGCCACCCCCAGGACCGGCUGCAGGUGGUGUUUGGUGAAACGAUUAAACUAUUCCUGGAGUAUGGGAUCAUCCCUCGACAAGUGGCAUAAACAAGUGCCGACUUCCGCCCUCUACACUCAGACGUGUCGCUAAACAAUCCUGGCUCUAAUCAGUGAUGGGAGAAUCGAAUACGGUGUAUUAAAAACUUUAUAUGCAUUGAGUAUUUCUACCAGACAAGUCUAGACUUGUCUUACUUCCUUCCCGCAAUCUAUUGUUUCUUGGUUACUUGGAACUGCUCAUGCCCAAAAGGUGGAAAUGUCCUUAGCUUUUUGUGCCUCCUACAGACAUGCCAUACCCAUGAUUAUGAACUUCAGAAAAUAUAUAUUUGUUUACCUGCUUCUUCAGUCCCGUAUGAAAGAUUCUUCUUUACUGCAGGACUUAUAAUCACCAAUGAUCGUAGAAAUAGAUUGAAGCCAUAUGCCUGUUUUUACACUACAACAGGAAAUAAAAACUCAUUUUGUCUUCAUUUUUGCAAACUUAUUUAUUUAUCGAAUAGUUGUACAAUUAUAAAUUUUUCAAAUUUGA
rnacentral:lncRNA from 1 species